GUGCCCAUAGCUCAGCUGGUAGAGCGCUGGAUUGUGGUUCCAGAUGUCACGGGUUCGAUCCCCGUUGGGCACCCCA
rnacentral:tRNA from 1 species